CAUUACCGUACAACGAGGGAGGCCCGAAGGCUGUCGCUGACCCCCCCUUUUUAARGGGGGUCGUGCACGCCGUCGGUGUCGUCCUCACACAAUCAAAUCCACCUCACCUUUUGUGCAUCGCCGCGUGGGUUCCGGAAGGGGCCUGCGCCUUUUACACACGCAUGAUUCAGUGUAGAAUGUCCUUUGCAUUUGUAUGCAAUCAAUACAACUUUCAACAACGGAUCUCUUGGCUCUCGCAUCGAUGAAGAACGCAGCGAAAUGCGAUACGUAAUGUGAAUUGCAGAAUUCAGUGAAUCAUCGAAUCUUUGAACGCACCUUGCGCCCCUUGGCAUUCCGAGGGGCACACCCGUUUGAGUGUCGUGAAAUCCUCAACCCUUCUUCGUUUCUUUUUGAUUCGAAGAAAGGCUUGGAAUUUGGAGGCUUUUGCUGGCCUCUAUUGAAGCCAGCUCCUCUUAAAUGCAUUAGCAGGGUCUCCUCAGCUGGAUCCCUUGACGUGAUAAGCAUUUUACGUCUCGAAGGGUUUUCUGGCUCUGCCCGCUUCCAACCGUCUCGUCGAGACAAACCUUUUUGAACCUUUGACCUCAAAUCGGGUGAGACUACCCGCUGAACUUAAGCAUAUCAAUAAGCGGAGGAAAAGAAACUAACAAGGAUUCCCCUAGUAACUGCGAGUGAAGCGGGAAAAGCUCAAAUUUAAAAUCUGGCGGUCUUUGGCCGUUCGAGUUGUAAUUUAGAGAAGCGUCUUCCGCGCUGGACCGUGCACAAGUCUCCUGGAACGGAGCGUCAUAGAGGGUGAGAAUCCCGUCUUUGGCACGGAACCCCGGUGCUUCUGUGAUGCGCUCUCGAAGAGUCGAGUUGUUUGGGAAUGCAGCUCAAAAUGGGUGGUGAACUCCAUCUAAAGCUAAAUAUUGGCGAGAGACCGUUAGCGAACAAGUACCGUGAGGGAAAGAUGAAAAGCACUUUGGAAAGAGAGUGAAACAGUACGUGAAAUUGUUGAAAGGGAAACGCUUGAAGUCAGUCGCGUCGAUCGAGACUCAGCCUUGCCUUGGCUUGGUGUACUUCUCGACCGACGGGCCAGCAUCAAUUUUGCCUCUCGGAUAAUGGCAAGGGAAAGGUGGCACCCUYACGGGUGUGUUAUAGUCUCCUGUCGCAUGCGAGGGGUGGGAUUGAGGAACUCAGCACGCACCUUCUAGGUGUCGGG
rnacentral:rRNA from 1 species